rnacentral:lncRNA from 1 species
AUCUUUUUAUAUCCACCAAAGAUCACUUUUAUAACCGAUUGUCCCUAAAGCAAGUGGCAAAGGAUUUGAUGGUUGGUAUCCGAGACCCAAGUUCGAAUCCUAGUUAAUUCACAUUUUCAGCUAAGUUUAUUUCUAAAUGAAAUAAACAAAACGGAUAGCAUGCUAUCUAUCUCUCUAAAAAGAAAAAAAAUCACUUUUAUAGAAAAUAGCUCAAAAGUAUAGCUUUUACACUCAUAUUCA